AUACGGAGGGUGCAAGCGUUAAUCGGAAUUACUGGGCGUAAAGCGUGCGUAGGUGGUUUGUUAAGUCGGAUGUGAAAGCCCCGGGCUCAACCUGGGAACUGCAUUUGAAACUGGCAUACUAGAGUAUAGGAGAGGAAAGUGGAAUUUCAGGUGUAGCGGUGAAAUGCGUAGAUAUCUGAAGGAACAUCAAUGGCGAAGGCAGCUUUCUGGACUAAUACUGACACUGAGGUACGAAAGCGUGGGUAGCAAACAGGAUUAGAAACCCUAGUAGUCC
rnacentral:rRNA from 1 species